rnacentral:lncRNA from 1 species
GUGUUCUUCAAUCCAUAGCUAGAGGACUCCUGAUAUCUCCAGGAGUGAUAAUGGCAGCCUUGGGCUGGCCUUCUGGGCAAGGUGGGUCUUUGCACUAAUCUUGCAUACUCGAAUGCCUCUGCUACCCCGAAGCUAGAGAGGAAGUGAUAGUCACUUGCAACCUAACAUUACAGCUGCCAGAAACAAGAUGAAGCCAACAGAGCAGACAAAGCCAACAAGCAUCAUUCUUGGUUUCUUGGAUCUGAAUCAACUCGACCCCAGAAGAGAAAAAGAAGCUCAUGACCAAUCCAGAAACCAAUUAAUUUUGAAAGGUAACGUUAGGGAGAUACUUGCGGAGACAGUUUGAUUUUGAGGGAACCUGAGGCUGUGCAAGUUGUGGUUGUGCAAACCUUAACACUGAGAGUGCAACAACCCCCACAGACUCAGACUCAUCCCCCCUGCCCCACUACCAACCAAGCAAGAGUAUCUCCAGAAACAUCAGCGCAAAGGGUUUGGUGAGACCAUGGCCAAUAUACACUGAGUGUACGAAACACAUGCUCUUUCCAUGACAUAGACUGACCAGGUGAAUCCAGAUUCUUCAAAGUAGCCACAUUUGCUUUGAUGACAGCUUUGGACACUCUUGGCAUUCUCUCAACCAGCUUCACCAGGAAUGUUUUUCCAACAGUCUUGAAGGAGUUCCCACAUAUGCUGAGCACUUGUUGGCUGCUUUUCCUUCACUCUGCAGUCCAACUCAUCCCAAACC